CCGUGUUCCUCCUCUCGCCGCCGCCCUGGAGAGGACCCUCCCAUGCCCGUGCCAUGGUGGAGCUCCCCAGCCCCAGUGACUCUUCUCCGCUCAUGCCCUCCUUCCUCACCGAAGCUGAUGCGGGCUGCCACCUCACCCCGUUGGCUUGAAUUCCCUGCCCUCGCGUCGUCCUGUCCGGCCACAUGGACCUUCUCAUGAGGGCUACCUUGACCUUCCCGAAGGAAGGUUCAUCCAUGGAGCGGCCGCUCAAGCCGCUCCAUCUCCGGCAAGGUGCACCAUCCCUUCUUAUGUUCACCCUUCCGAUGAUGCUCCACGCCACCAUCGUCGUCACACCACUCCGGCCACCAGCACGCAUAGGUUGUUCCCUGUUCCCGUUCCCAACGGGAAUCUCAUGGGAAUGCUCCUCUCUGCCGGAUGCUGAUGGACUCAACCCUCGCGCAUCUGCCGCAACAGUGAGAGCUAGUAGGCAACGGUGGCUCUUUCGCGUCGCAUCCCACGCGGGCGGCUAGGAAGGGCUCAGCCGCCGCCGCCGCCUAGUUUCCCUCCAGCGCUCUUCUCCCCCUCCACCGCUGCCGAUGAACGGCGCCGGGCAAAGCCUGUGCGUGCGACGGCGGCGGCAGAGGGUCUCUCCUCCCUCUCCCGGAUCCACGGCGGCGCGGACGUCCUGAUCCGAGGGGUUGCGGCCCUCCCGGCGGUGUGGCGGAUCCCGGAGGCGGCGGGCUCGCGGCGGUGCACGGGCGCCCAGAUCCAUGGGUGUGGGUCUCCCGCAGCGUGCGGGAUCCCGGCGGUGGCAGGAUUGGUCGACGGCGGGCUUGGGCGAUGGCGUCGUCCACGCAGUGCCGGAGUUCGUCGCUCGUGGCGGAUCUUGCCACUCCGGCCAUCGUGGACGAACCUGGACCUGGGGCGGCGGCCUCGUUAGGCAUGGUGACAUCGCCCUCGGCUGGCGACAUUCGCGGGGGGUGGAUGGACGACAUCUUGACCAUCUGGGUUGUGAGUUGCCGUGGAUCUCCUCCACGUUGCAGGCCUUCUCCCGCUGCACUUGGUGGCUUACGAUCGCGGUCGUCGACCCCGUGCGUUCGCUGGGGCUAGUAGAGGUGACAUCGGACCGGAGGAAACUCUGGAUGACUCGUUCACCCCGACGGUGGCGACGACCAUGGUCGUUGUUCUCCUACUUGCAGGCGUCGUCGAGGUCCCUGCCCUCUACCCCGACCCCAUGCCCGGGUGAAAACCCAAAUCUCCUUAGAUUGGGCGGCGGCGGCACUGUGUGUGUCGUACCCUUCUUGGAGGCGCCACCUGGGGCGUUUGGGUACUCGGUUAGAGGAACUACAGGCGGAGGGGAUGGGAUCAGUGGCAACAGGUGGUGUUCGCGACGGAGGAGCGGCGUGGCAUCUGGCACGUCGACAUCGGCGGGUCUCAGCGGCAUGGAGCAUCGGGGUCUCACCGGUGGGCGUGUGAUAAUGGACGAGCGCAGGAUGAUGGCGUUGUCUGGCGUCGUGGUGGACUCGACGGCAACUAGACCAGGCAAGGUAGAUGCAGCAGUACAACACUGAAGAUGGAUUGGUGACAGGUGGCUGCGACGGCCUCAUACCCGGCAGGCAUCCUGGUUGAGGAGUGCGCCGGACUGGUAGGUGCCCCAUACCCGGCAGGCGUCCUGAUGGGACCUCAGGUCUUAGAUGUUAGGUUUGGCUGCGAUGUUUGUUUGGUAUUAGGUCCAGACUAUCAGCAUCCCUUCAUUAAAUGGAUAGGAGUAGCGACACAUGUUGCCUGGACGGUGAGUUUGUAUGGUCUUGGGUGAAUAAUUAAUAAAAUAGCUGCAUGCAUCGUCCAGAUGCAGAGGCCGGGGUCCUCCUCCUUUUCUAAAAAAGAAGUAGGCAAUGGUGGCCAAGUUGAUCACUCUUGUUGCCGUCCUACGUCCCCGUGAAGCUGCAUCAGUUCAAUCCCAUCACAUUUCAGUUCAGUUUAACCUGGCCAGCCACAUCAGUUCAAUGUGUACUUUUGAAGAAAUGGAGAUGGCUGAAUAAUUAGUAACGAAUCGAUGGAUCUCACAAAUGGGAGGAAGCUACACCACUGAAUUGUUCCACUAAGUUGAGCAAAAGAAAAGGAAGUUCACAACAAAACAACCUUCCUGUUGCUCAUCGGUUCAUGGAAAAAUUUUGGUGGUAUGCUUUGGCACGAACCUUAGUACUCACUAGAUAGUUCAAGUUCAGCAAAGAUUUCAGGUCAGUGAGAUGUUGCAAGACAGUAUGGGCCAUUUCAGUUCAGGGAGAUGUUCAACACUACUGAAUUUUAGUUCAGGCUUUUGGGUUCUACCCUUGCUGCGCAUGGGUUGUACUUCACGUUUACGUCAAGAUCAGAUACCAUAUGCGCAGUGCCUCGUGUGUGUGCGAGCUAGCUAAUCAUUCUGCUAAAAAUAUAGUGUUUGUUUCAGCUUGUACGUAUAAACAUAGAUUUAGCCCAUUCGAUAUACUACAAUGCAUUGUUUUGGUAAUUCUACUUGUACAUAAACAAAAUAUUUUUGUGUCUAAUGGUGGCCGUAACAUAUACAGUUCUACCUAGAAAAUUGUCGAAUUGUGGCACAUUUUGCUCAGCAGAUACAGAUACAGUGUUACCUGAUGUUGUUUCUGUGAGCAGCCUGGUGUCUUGGUGGUGAUGCAAAUUCGCUUGGGAAGCUUGACAUAUCUGGGGGCUUGGGUGAAGAAAACAAGGAUGCGCACCCGGUGCCGGUGCCGCGCCUGCCAGGUAACAGGGCGACCACCAAAAGCACCUGGAUCUGUCCUCUUACGGUCUUCUCGCCGCCGCGGCACACCAACCCGCCGGACUAGCGCUGCCCCAACCGGGCAUCCCCUCACCGCCGCAACCCUUCAGCUCGUGCACCUAGCGAGCAUCACUGCAACCUCAACCUCCACCACCACUGAAGUUCGUCCUGUCUAGCGACUCCAGUUCGCUUCUUUUUAUAGUUUCAAUUCCUUGGUUGCAUGCUAUAUUCGGUGGUGUUGAUGUUGGUUGUAGGGGGAGGAAGUUGAUGCAUUAGUUUUGAUACAGAGAAAUCUUAGUGGUUCAAAUGGGCGAUUUGAUUUUUUGCCACAACUUACAUUGCACUUUGAUAAUUUGCCACUAGUUACAUUGUAAUUAAUCAUUUGCCACUCUUUAGUUUGGACUUUGGUCAUUUGCCUUUUUGCCUCAAAAACAACCAUUUCAAUUGUAAGUGAAAUUAUAUGCCUAAAAAUAGUGACCAAACUACCCUUUGCACCUGUUUGACCCAAACCAAAGGGCUCCGACUCCAACUCGACCCG
rnacentral:lncRNA from 1 species